UCCACCCCCACCGUCUCCACCGCCGCCGUCGCCACCUCCUCCAUCACCGCCGCCGCCAACUCUACGGUUCAGAGGGCGAGUAGCAGCUAGGACACCUCCUUUGCCUGUCCACACCUGCGAGGAGCAACUGCUUCAGAAGGAACCGAUUAAGAGUCUGUUCAAGAUCAAGAAGGAUCAGUUGAAUCAAGGAGUGAUGAAAAACCUAGUAUGGCUACAUCUUUUCAAUGUCAUUUCACACUCAGCAUAAUCACUUCAACAUGCUUCUGGAUGCAUCGACUUCUUUCCAACAAGAUUUGCAUGCUACAGCCACCACCGAGGAGUGUACGGGUGUGUUGCUAGAGCUGGAGAAGCUCGUAAACUCCACUUUACCCCCCCAGUAAGUUUGCUUACAUUUUUCCUUUUUUCCGGAGGUAACUCUUUCUGUUGGGAGCUCCCCCCUUUUUCCUGUCACCUCCGAGAGUUCGUAAUAAAAGAUUCAUGACUUUUUCCUU